rnacentral:SRP_RNA from 1 species
GCCGGACGUGGUGGCGCAUGCCUGUAAUCCCAGCUACUCGGGAGGCUGAGGCAGGAGAAUCGCUUGAACCCUGGGGGCGGAGGUUGUGGUGAGCCCGAGAUCGUGCCAUUGCACCACUCCAGCCUGGGCAACAAGAGUGGAACUCUGUCUCGAAAAAAAAGAAUGCAAAGGCAAAAAUGACUCUUUUUUUUUUUUUUUUGAGACAGAGUCUUGCCCUGUUGCCCAGGCUGGAGUGCAGUGGCAUGAUCUCGGCUCGCCACAACCUCUGCCUCCUGGGUUUAAGUGAUUCUCCUGCCUCAG